AUACGUAGGGGGCGAGCGUUGUCCGGAAUGAUUGGGCGUAAAGGGCGCGUAGGCGGCCUGUUAAGUCUGGAGUGAAAGUCCUGUUUUCAAGAUGGGAAUUGCUUUGGAUACUGUCGGGCUUGAGUGCAGGAGAGGUAAGUGGAAUUCCCAGGGUAGCGGUGAAAUGCGUAGAGAUUGGGAGGAACACCAGUGGCGAAGGCGACUUACUGGACUGUAACUGACGCUGAGGCGCGAAAGUGUGGGGAGCAAACAGGAUUAGAUACCCUGGUAGUCCACACUGUAAACGAUGAAUGCUAGGUGUAGGGGGUAUCGACCCCUUCUGUGCCGCAGUCAACACAAUAAGCAUUCCGCCUGGGGAGUACGGCCGCAAGGUUGAAACUCAAAUGAAUUGACGGGG
rnacentral:rRNA from 1 species